rnacentral:misc_RNA from 1 species
UGGUUCUGGCAUCGAUGAAGAACGCAGCGAAAUGCGAUAAGUAAUGCGAAUUGCAGAAUUCAGUGAGUCAUCGAAUCUUUGAACGCACAUUGCGCCUUUUGGUAUUCCGAAGGGCAUGCCUGUUCGAGCGUCAUUAACAACCCUCAAGCCUGGCUUGCUGUUGGACCUCUGUCGUUAUAAGACAGGUCUCAAAGAUAACGACGGAAUCGGAUGGACCCUAGAUGCAACGAGCUCUAGUAGCACGCAUUGAAGGGUUCAGCGAUUCUGGUCUUAACCCCAUUUUUUACAAGGUUGACCUCGGAUCAGGUAGGAAUACCCGCUGA